CAUCUGUUAGCGAAUCCCUUUAAUUCUACCAUUAGGUACUCUUCCUUUUGGCUUAAGGCUUAGAGUGUUUCUAAAAUGCCCUCUGGAAGGUGUUACUUUAAAAUGGCUGUUGCUAUUUAUGGUCUCUUGUGAAGAUGCAGGGACUACUAGGUUGUUUUGAGAAGAAAGGGAAGCCAGUGAUUGGAGUUCUGGGUGGGAAGGGGGAAGGAAAGGGAGUCAGGGAGGGUUCAGAGCUAAGAGCAGGUCCUUUCCCUGUCCAUUUAGCCAAUGUUUUUAUUUUUCCUAUUUUUCCUUUUCGGUGCCAGUGCAUGGGAAAGUAGAUUUCAUUUAUUCAUUCACUCAUUCCUUUUUUUUUUUUUUUUUUUUAAUAAAAAGGGCUUCCCUCUGUUUCUUGGGCUACAGUGCAGUGCUUCAAUCAUGGGUCAAUGCAGUCCUGAACUCCUGGGCUCAAGCAAUCCUUCCACUUCAGUCCCAAGUAGCUAAUACUACUAGCUUACAUUUCUGCCUGGGAGACUUACAAGCGCACAACAGGAUUAAUCCAUCAGCUCUGCUGGGCUGGGAGAGGGAGGGAGCCAGGCGGAGGAAGUAUCAAUGAUACCGCACUCCAGUGAGCACUGAAGAGGCUCCAUUCAUGGACCAACAAAACCUGGAAGAAGCCUCAGACUUAAUCAGCCAAGGAGGCUCCAGCAGCAGGAACAAAAGAAAUCAAAGCUUCACUGGGUGCUGAAAGUAUCUGGAAGAUUCCAUUAUUAUCAGGAUGACUCACAAAAUUUAAUAAUUACUUGUUUUUGCUUUGUUUUGUGUGCCCAUGUUUUACAUGAUGUGACCUUCUGCUGCCCUGUACUAUCAUAAAUUGCAUCUUUCUGAAGGCAGUUCUGAGUAAGUUUGUGUCCAUGAGUAUGUGCUAGCAUUUCAGCUCAUGGGCAUUGCCUUAAAGAAGUAACUGGGGCUGUCAGCAAUCUGUUGUGAGGUCUUCAACCAGCUCAUUUAUUAAAUAGCUUUAGGACAAAUAUUCUUGGCUGAAAAAUCUGGUAUAAAAAUGAAAAGGAGAGUCCUGCAAACAAAGAAUACAGUUCACUGUGUUCAGUUAUUUUUCCCUAAAAAAAAUGCGUAAGAGAUGUAGAGUUAAAAAAUAUUUUUGAGUUGUUAUGACCAGUUGAUGACAGACGUGGUUUUUACUUUUAAAAUAUGGUAUCUGUGACUACAACUGAUUGUGGGCAAAACCACAGAGAUGCUUCUUUUGCUUGAAUUCAGCUAUUUUCCUUUUCUGUGUUCUUCUCCCAACUUCUGAUUUGUUCUUACCCAUGAAUUAGGUGGCUCUUGAGUUGCUCUUGAUCUUACCCCUAUUCUUUGCUGUUGUCCCUAAGCAAUGCUCUUUAUCUGGGGCCAAACCCACUUCUUCUCCCCACUCAAUACUUUCCAGCCAAGGGUCCUGACUUUCCGGUCCAGGUGCAAGUUCCUGACGCUGGAUAAUUCCAGGCAUCAUUUCCACAACAUAGAGCUUUUGGGACAGAAAAGCCUUUACACAGCACUCAUCUCAGAUUCCCCAUGGAGGGUCUGCCUAUGCAUUGAGUCUGGCCCCUUCAGACCCCUUUUUCUUGUCAUCACAGAGGGAGCCCGAGCUCUUGGCCAGGCUUGUGAGCAGAGCAAAGACAGUUGCUAUCGCUAUAGAACCAUUUAAAGCUUGUGUGUGUGUGUGUGUGUGUGUGUGUGUGUGUGUGUGUGUGUGUGUGUGUGGAAAGACCUUCUGCUAGGCCUUAUUACAUCCUACUGGUUCUCCUCUCACUUCUGUGGUGUGAAUGUUAAUUAUCUAGGAGCAGACCACUCCAUCAUUACAGAUCUCACCUUCCCACUCUAGUCUGUUUCCCAGUGAAAACAUAGCUUCUGCAGCCCUCAGCCCCUAGAGUUGACCCCUCCAUCUUUACAGGCACUUCCUGCUUUUGGUGGCAACUUUCAUCUCAAGGAAUUAGAGGUGUUUUGUGCAGCCAGCACACAGUGGAGACAGGGCACAUUCGCAGAGCUGAACAGACUGCCAAGAAAGACAGUGCCCUUCUGCUGUAAAAUUCCAGUAGAAGUCCUGUGGCUGGGAUCGUGACACACACGGGAGUCUAAGGCUCACAACGGGCUAGCAUAGUCUACCUUGUAAGCCUUACAAAUAUUGAAAUAUGGCUUUGCAGGGGGUAGUUUAUAUAAGAUGAGGUAAGUUAGCCAUGGGACUUUCCCCAUAGUCAAAAAGUUUGAGAGCAUUGAAGAAAAGUAUAGCCUUGGUUGGAAGCCAAGGAAUGGCCAUCAUCUUUGAAGAGUAUCUUCUUUUGCACCUGAAAAUGGGCAGCUCAGCCUAUGACACAGAAGGAUGCAGAGAAGGCCCACUGAUGGCCUUGGCCUCAGAGACUCAUCACUGUCCUUUCAGACUCCAGAUCCUGACUCUCUUGACAUCAUUAGAGUAGCAUCCUCCAUGCCCCAGGUGCUGACACAGCCUCCAAGCCACACACACACACACACACACACACACACACACACACACCAGUUUGUUAAUUUACCCAGAAAAAUACAACUAAUAAGAGUACUGGUUAUUCACUCUGGCCAAAUCAGCACACUGGCUCAGAAUGCAGGCAGUGAGUUAAGCUUCAGAAGUGUCUCUCCAUUGAGAUGCUUUAGGCUCUCUCAGCAAGUCAAGGACAAGAAGACUCUGUCCAGAGCUGUUAUAGUGCCUUAGUGGGUCUACCAACAUUUGCCUCUGCAACACCCCACCUUUUUCUUUAUUUUAUUUUAUUUAUUUUUUUUUUU